rnacentral:rRNA from 1 species
GAUGAACGCUGGCGCCGUGCUUAACACAUGCAAGUCGAACGAUGAAGCCCAGCUUGCUGGGUGGAUUAGUGGCGAACGGGUGAGUAACACGUGAGUAACCUGCCCUUAACUCUGGGAUAAGCCUGGGAAACUGGGUCUAAUACCGGAUAGGAGCGUCCACCGCAUGGUGGGUGUUGGAAAGAUUUAUCGGUUUUGGAUGGACUCGCGGCCUAUCAGCUUGUUGGUGAGGUAAUGGCUCACCAAGGCGACGACGGGUAGCCGGCCUGAGAGGGUGACCGGCCACACUGGGACUGAGACACGGCCCAGACUCCUACGGGAGGCAGCAGUGGGGAAUAUUGCACAAUGGGCGCAAGCCUGAUGCAGCGACGCCGCGUGAGGGAUGACGGCCUUCGGGUUGUAAACCUCUUUCAGUAGGGAAGAAGCGAAAGUGACGGUACCUGCAGAAGAAGCACCGGCUAACUACGUG